GGCUCCGUAGCUUGAAGGAAAAAAGCGCCCGUCUAGGGAAUUGGAAGUCGUGGGUUCGAUUCCCACCUGAUUUU
rfam:Aedes albopictus isolate Foshan contig33481, whole genome shotgun sequence.